CGGUGGUUUGCGAAAGACCUUGGGGCCCCCCGUGGGGCGUUACUGGACUUGGGGUGCUCAGUCUGCAAGGCAGAAACACUCGGCAUAGAAAAGCCCAGGGCCCAGCGCAGGAUCCAGGAAGACUGUCCCAGUGCCUCCCCAAGAAAGUAGCCUGACAGCCCCAGAAAACACAAAACAGGACUUGGAAACCACUGUUCUCCACAAUGUGAAUUCAGUUACUUAUUCAGUGUGUUGAUACCAGAAUAUAGAAAUCCCUGUAAGGUUGCUAAAGGAAACAAUUAGCAUUUAAACAAAAGAGCUCAUUGAGAAACAUUUUAACAAGAGAAUAAGCUGAUUUUUUCACAGGCAUUACUAUGGAGAAAGGCAGGAAAACAGCCGAGAUUCCACACUGCAUUGUGCCUUAGCCUCCAGUGAAUAAAUGCAAGGAUUGUGCACACAGGAUCUAAACACUCGUAAAGAAGAUUCAUGGUGAUGUGCUUAGAAGAAAUUAAUAAAACCAAAGAGAAC